rnacentral:rRNA from 1 species
GACGAACGCUGGCGGCGUGCUUAACACAUGCAAGUCGAACGGUGAAGGGACCAGCUUGCUGGUUCUGGAUGAGUGGCGAACGGGUGAGUAACACGUGAGUAACCUGCCCCCUUCUUCUGGAUAACCGCAUGAAAGUGUGGCUAAUACGGGAUAUUCUGGGUCUGUCGCAUGGCGGGCCCGGGAAAGAUAUUGCUUCGGUGGGGGAUGGGCUCGCGGCCUAUCAGCUUGUUGGUGGGGUGAUGGCCUACCAAGGCGGUGACGGGUAGCCGGCCUGAGAGGGUGGACGGUGACACUGGGACUGAGACACGGCCCAGACUCCUACGGGAGGCAGCAGUGGGGAAUAUUGCACAAUGGGCGCAAGCCUGAUGCAGCGACGCCGCGUGAGGGAUGGAGGCCUUCGGGUUGUAAACCUCUUUCGCCAGUGAAGCAGGCCUGCUCCUUGUGGGUGGGUUGACGGUAGCUGGAUAAGAAGCGCCGGCUAACUACGUG